UCCCAGCUAACUCAAAUGGUAAAGAAUCUGCCUACAAUGCAGGAAACCUGUGUUUGAUUCCUGGGCUGGGAA
rnacentral:tRNA from 1 species